ACGCACGCUGGCGGCGUGCUUAACACAUGCAAGUCGAACGGAAAGGCCCUGCUUUUGUGGGGUGCUCGAGUGGCGAACGGGUGAGUAACACGUGAGUAACCUGCCCUUGACUUUGGGAUAACUUCAGGAAACUGGGGCUAAUACCGGAUAGGAGCUCCUGCUGCAUGGUGGGGGUUGGAAAGUUUCGGCGGUUGGGGAUGGACUCGCGGCUUAUCAGCUUGUUGGUGGGGUAGUGGCUUACCAAGGCUUUGACGGGUAGCCGGCCUGAGAGGGUGACCGGCCACAUUGGGACUGAGAUACGGCCCAGACUCCUACGGGAGGCAGCAGUGGGGAAUAUUGCACAAUGGGCGGAAGCCUGAUGCAGCAACGCCGCGUGCGGGAUGACGGCCUUCGGGUUGUAAACCGCUUUCGCCUGUGACGAAGCGUGAGUGACGGUAAUGGGUAAAGAAGCACCGGCGAACUACGU
rnacentral:rRNA from 1 species